UACGUAGGGGGCGAGCGUUGUCCGGAUUUAUUGGGCGUAAAGAGCUCGUAGGCGGUUUGGUAAGUCGGGUGUGAAAUCUCCACGCUCAACGUGGAGGGGCCACUCGAUACUGCCAUGACUCGAGUCCGGUAGAGGAGUGUGGAAUUCCCGGUGUAGCGGUGAAAUGCGCAGAUAUCGGGAGGAACACCCGUAGCGAAGGCGGCACUCUGGGCCGGAACUGACGCUGAGGCGCGACAGCGUGGGGAGCAAACAGG
rnacentral:rRNA from 1 species